AUGCUGAGUGCCAAGACCCCACCCACCAUUAAGGGUAUAAAAGGACCAUGGAGAAAGGAGAGACUCAAACCUCAUCCACUUCCACCUCCAUCAGUUCACCUGUCCUUCCAUCACCUCUCCCAGCACCAUGCCUUACAGCUGCUGCCUGCCCACCUUGAGCUACCGUUCCAGCUGCUCAUCCCGGCCCUGUGUGCCCCAUAGCUGCCGUGGCACCACCCUGCCCGGGGCCUGCAACAUCCCUGCCAAUGUGGGCAGCUGCAACUGGUUCUGCGAGGGCUCCUUCAAUGGCAAUGAGAAGGAGACCAUGCAGUUCCUGAAUGACCGGCUGGCCAGCUACCUGGAGAAGGUGCGGCAGCUGGAGCGGGAGAACGCGGAGCUGGAGAGCCGCAUCCUGGAGCGGAGCCAGCAGCAGGAGCCCCUCUUGUGCCCCAGCUACCAGUCCUACUUCCGGACCAUCGAGGAGCUCCAGCAGAAGAUCCUGUGCGCCAAGUCUGAGAACUCCAGGCUGGUGAUACAGAUCGACAAUGCCAAGCUGGCCUCUGAUGACUUCAGGACCAAGUACGAGACGGAGCGUUCCUUGCGGCAGCUGGUGGAGUCAGACAUAAAUAGCCUGCGUAGGAUCCUGGAUGAGCUGACCCUGUGCAAGGCCGACCUGGAGGCCCAGGUGGAGUCCCUGAGGGAGGAGCUGCUCUGCCUCAAGAAGAACCAUGAGGAGGAAGCCAACUCACUGCGGAGCCAGCUGGGAGACCGCCUCAACGUGGAGGUGGACGCCGCCCCCACUGUGGACCUCAACCGUGUGCUCAACGAGACCAGGGCUCAGUAUGAGGCCUUGGUGGAGACCAACCGCAGGGACGUGGAGGAAUGGUACAUCAGGCAGACUGAGGAGCUGAACAAGCAGGUGGUGUCCAGCUCAGAGCAGCUGCAGUCCUGCCAGGCAGAGAUCAUCGAGCUGAGACGCACGGUCAAUGCCCUGGAGGUGGAACUGCAGGCCCAGCACAACCUGAGAGACUCCCUGGAGAACACCCUGACGGAGACGGAGGCUCGCUACAGCUGCCAGCUGGCCCAGGUGCAGGGCCUGAUCGGCAACGUGGAGUCACAGCUGGCGGAGAUCAGGAGUGACCUGGAGCGGCAGAACCAGGAGUACCAGGUGCUGCUGGAUGUGCGGGCCCGGCUGGAGUGUGAGAUCAACACGUACCGGGGGCUGCUGGACAGCGAGGACUGCAAGCUCCCCUGCAACCCAUGUGCCACCACCAAUGCUAGUGGCAACUCCUGUGGGUCCUGCUCUCAAAAUCGUUGCCGUUAAUUAAAAAACCUGCCUCCUCUUUGAAGAUGACAACGAAGCCUAGAACAAGCACAGAAAAGAUCCCCAGGUCCUGCCUUGGCUGGAGCUCAGUUACCAUUUAGAUACCUUGUCAAGCCAGCUCUGAAACUUUUACACAUGGAAAUGCUCUCCACGAGCCAAGACACACCUCAUCUGCUUCCGAUGUCUGGAAAACUCCCUCCUGCUGAAGGUCAAGUCUCUGUCUCUGAAGACAGUCCAGCAAUCUGAGCUCCAGGUUUUACUUUAGGGUGUUUCCUCUAGGUAUUGUGUUUCCUGCUUUCCUAGCUUCUUUGGUAUUCUCUGGAAUGCAAGGAGGCUACUUCAUUUACUUCCCAAUAAACUUUAUUUCUCUGGCAUAGUAAA